rnacentral:rRNA from 1 species
GAUGAACGCUGGCGGCGUGCCUAAUACAUGCAAGUCGAGCGAACCACUUCGGUGGAGAGCGGCGAACGGGUGAGUAACACGUAGGUCAUCUACCCAUUAGACGGGGAUAACGUUUGGAAACGAACGCUAAUACCGGAUAGGAUGCAAAUUUAAAGGUGCUUUCGGGCACCGCUAAUGGAUGAGCCUGCGGCGCAUUAGCUAGUUGGUAAGGUAAGAGCUUACCAAGGCGACGAUGCGUAUCCGACCUGAGAGGGUGAACGGCCACACUGGGACUGAGACACGGCCCAGACUCCUACGGGAGGCAGCAGUAGGGAAUCUUCGGCAAUGGACGAAAGUCUGACCGAGCAACGCCGCGUGAAUGAAGAAGGCUUUCGGGUCGUAAAAUUCUGUUAUAAGGGGAGAAAGGUUAGAGUAGGAAAUGGCUCUAAAGUGACGGUACCUUAUGAGAAAGCCACGGCUAACUACGUGCCAGCCGCCGCGGUAAAAC